rnacentral:rRNA from 1 species
GAUGAACGCUGGCGGUAUGCUUUACACAUGCAAGUCAUACGGGAGUUAGUUUCGGCUAACUCCAGUGGCGGACGGGUGAGUAACACGUGAGAAUUCGCCUUUAGGAGGGGGAUAACAGGGGGAAACACCUGCUAAAACCCCAUAUGCCUUCGGGUCAAAAGAGUAAUCUGCCUAAAGAGAAGCUCGCGGCUGAUUAGCUAGUUGGUAGGGUAAAGGCCUACCAAGGCGACGAUCAGUAGCUGGUCUGAGAGGAUGAUCAGCCACACUGGAACUGAGACACGGUCCAGACUCCUACGGGAGGCAGCAGUGAGGAAUUUUCUGCAAUGGGCGAAAGCCUGACAGAGCAAUACCGCGUGAGGGAAGAAGGCUUACUGAGUUGUAAACCUCUGUUACCUAGGGAGGAAGAUCUGACGUUACCUAGGAGACGAAGCAUCGGCUAACUCCGUGCCAGCAGCCGCCGUAA